CGCCUCUUGCAAUCCAAGUAUAAGAGGUCCCGCCUGCCCUGUGACCCUGUGUUUAACGGCCGCGGUAUUCUGACCGUGCGAAGGUAGCGCAAUCACUUGUCUUUUAAAUGAAGACCUGUAUGAAUGGCACGACGAGGGCUUAGCUGUCUCCUUCUCCCAGUCAAUGAAAUUGAUCUCCCCGUGCAGAAGCGGGGAUUAACCCAUAAGACGAGAAGACCCUAUGGAGCUUUAGACAAAAGGCAGACCACGUUUAACCCACCUCUUCUAUAGGACUAAACACAGUGCCCCCUGACCUUAAUGUCUUUGGUUGGGGCGACCGCGGAGGAAAACUAAGCCUCCAUGUGGACCGGGAGAACCCACUCCUAAAGUCAAGAGCCACAGCUCUAAGCAACAGAACUUCUGACCAAAAAUGAUCCGGUAACACCGAUCAACGAACCAAGUUACCCUAGGGAUAACAGCGCAAUCCCCUCCCAGAGUCCCUAUCGACAAGGGGGUUUACGACCUCGAUGUUGGAUCAGGACAUCCUAAUGGUGCAACCGCUAUUAAGGGUUCGUUUGUUCAACGAUUAAAGUCCU
rnacentral:rRNA from 1 species